ensembl:lncRNA LRRC8C-DT LRRC8C divergent transcript
CCCGGGGUCGCCACCGCCCGCCGAGUCGACUCCGCGGUGCCAGCCCCGCUGUGACGCAGGCCGCGCCGCCCGGGAACUUCCUCCCCUGCAGAGACCACCUCGCUCCCGGGACUCGCCAGCGAGGGAUGCCGCCGGCCGCCGGGGGCCUUCUCCAGGACCAGGAGAGAAAUCCUCUCUCCGCUUCACGACGCGGCCACUCCCACCCCUGAGACGCCCACCUGGCGGACUCUGAGGGAGGAUUCGGCUGCGUCUAAUACCACCUCCACCCCUCAUCCCUCACAAUGCGCGGAAAACCACAGGCGGCUGUGCGCGCAGCGUCGGCUCAGCCACCGCAGCUCCUCCCCUGGGAUGAAAAAGCACUCUGACGUCUUGAAAGCUGGCAGCUCUCUGUUUGGAAAAUCUCUGCCCAGUGAAAAAAUGUACCGACAAGAUUACUAAGUAACACAGUCUUCUGGGAAUGCCUUAUCAAUGCCAGCUAUUUGAAGAGCACCCAAAGUCAAACUAGUGCUCCGCGCUGGCAGUCUGGAAAAGGCAGAUGUAUGUGAGUAGAGAAACUGAUAGACAACUAGUUGCUGGCCAGUUGGCCUGUUUUCGUGCUACAAGCCUUCAGAAAACAGUCGCCUCCUUUUACCACGUUUCUAUUUCUAAACCAAAAUGAAAAGGACGUUUGUUCAAAAGAUAUUCUCUUGGGCUUUACAUUGCUUUCCCCCUGCUCACUCAGCAAAAUCCUACACUUUUUUUCCAAUUCCAAUGCUGCUGUUGGGUGUCCUUCCCAGAAGACAACCUUAAAUUCUCUUAGGCCUUAGGAGCUGAAUCUAACACCAGUCUUAAUUAACCUACAACAAGACAAAAAUUUAGGUCCGGGCUUACCUCCUAGUCAGCAGAUGGGAAAAAUUCCUAGAGAGUCUCUGGGAAAAAGGCAAAGGCUAACUUUAGCAGUUUGCUAGAAAAAAAAAAAUUCAAGUACCUUGUAAGUCACCAGGGUAGAUGCAGCAAUACUCUCUAAGGUAGCUUUACCUCUUCAAUUCUCUUACCUUACCUGAAUUUAAACACAGUGAGGCAAGUACCAAGGUCACAACCCUCCUGUGGAGGGCCUUAUUCUGCAAGGGCUCUCUGAUAUACUUCUAUCUUUGUACCGUUGGCACCUGACCACAAGCUUAGGCAUCCCUGAAAUGCUCCCUUGCUACCCAGUGUCAAGGAAUCAUUGAACCUUAGACUUUGUACUCAGGUGAACCAGGAUGAAAUCCCUAUUCUUCCAGUUUAAACUUAGGAAAUUUACUGUUCUUUUUAUCUGCCCCCUCCCCACCACCCACAUCCCCUUAUCAUCCCUAUAGGUAUAGUACUACAGGGUGCUGUGAGAAUUAGCUAAUAUGCUCAAAGCACCAAGAACAGUGCCAAUCACUUUGUAAGUAGUCAGUAAAUGAGAGCUACUAUUGUACUUAACUACUCUUCACUGAAAGCAAAAGAACCAGGAAUAGCAAAAAGGUUUGGAAACCUGGGAUCUGAAUCCCCUGCAAGUUGAGUCCACCCCAAGUUGCUUUAUUGCAAUACUUUUGGCUACUCUUGUGUCUGCCUUCUAAUUGGAUCAACUGGGUAGUUCUUCACGUGUAGGCAGGUGAUUCACAUGCACAUUAAUGCUUGAAAGCCACUAGUCUAAAAACUAUGCUACACUGGUUAGUUCACCUCUUCUUAUUUUGUAGCAUGUAAACCUUAAAUCUAGUGAUCUUACCUCAGUCCACCUAAUUCACAUUAACAUCCACACUUAGCAAGCUCUCUGUAAAGGACUGGUAGAAUUAGCAAUCAGUCAACUUGAGUGAGGGUCUUAAAGAAGUACAAGGCUUAUUCUCCGACUUCAGGGUGUUCAUAGUUCAUGGGAAUCAUGCAUACACACAAACCAGAAUAAACCAUUUUGAAGCAAAUGUGCUUGAAGUUCAGCACAUCUCCAGGAAGGAGAGGGUACUGUGAGCUAGAUGAACUGGGUGCACAGACUCUGUCUUGACCUUUCACUUUAUACCCAAUUCUUUAGGCUAAAUUUUGACAUUCUAAUUGGACUUCCAGAGUUAGUAGUUCUCACACUAAAGACUGUGUAAUUACAAGUUAACCAUGUACAGGUUGGUGAUAGAAGCAGAAGUAGAUAUUUCUGGGCUAUGCAGGGCUAUGGUAAGGGAUUUGGAAUGAAAUAGGUCUGGGCUUAAAUCUUGUAUCUCUAGCUAUGAACUUCAGUUUCCUCAUCAGUCUAUUGGAAUAUAACUACCUUUUAGGGUUGUGGUGAGACUUAGAAUAUCUGUAACCCCUCUAGUGGGUUGUAUGGUAACAGCAAUUGUGUCACAUUGUUGUUUUGUUGUUAGCUGUAAGAAAACUCAGGCUGGGCUGAGUUGUUCCUUGAAGGCGUAAUUAAUUAAUUUUUUCUGAGACAGAGUCUCAUGCUGUGUGAUCUCGCUGACUGCAACUUCCGCCUUCCAGGUUCAAGCAAUUCUCCUUGCCUCAUCCUCCUGACUAGCUGGGAUUACAGGUGCCCGCCACCACGCCCAGCUAAUUUUUGUAUUUAUUUAUUUUUUUUAGUAGAGAUGGGUUUUCACCAUGUUGGCCAGGCUGGUCUCAAACUCCUGACCUCAGGUGAUCCACCCGCCUUGGCCUCCCAAAGUGCUGGGAUUAUAGGCAUGAGCCACCACGCCUGGCCUGAAGGCAUAAUUUAAAAGUCACCUUCUCUAUGAAGCCUCCACAGGUUCUAGGCAAGUAUAACUCUUCCUUCCUUGUGUGACCACAGCACUUACCAUGGCAUGCUCUCAUUUGUCUCUUUACAUGCCUCUUCACUACAGAGUCUGGGAGCCUCUCCAGGGCAGGGCUGUAUCUUGAUUCACUUUUAUGUCCAUUAUCAAUACCCUGCACAGGACCUGAUAUUAAAUAUUGAAAUAAUGAGUUUUUAAGUGUUUCAGUUUCUUGUAUUGGUUCUGACUUUCAGUAUAACUCUUAUUAUACUACAGGCUCUAAAACCUGAACCCUUUAGCUCAUAAAUAAUUCAUACUAAAUUUAUGUAUUAUGUAUAUGUAUCUGCUUAAACCUUGAUGAUGUCAAUGCUGGGAUUGUUCUUUCAGAUCAACCUGCUAUUCUUGUUUUGUUUUGCAUUUGAUUUCAGUUGAUCCUACCUGGUAAGAGUGCAAGUAAAAUCUACAUUCUAAACCAAAACCACCAGCAGGAUUUUACGCUGCAUUCUCUAUCCACCCUGUGCACAUCUGCUCCCCAUACCAUUUCUGAGCUUUGUGGGAAGAGGCUGAGCUAAAAGAAAACGUUGUUGUUUUAAGUUUCAGUUGUUUAGACUGUUGCAACCAUUAGCACUUUCUGAAUUAAUACCUGCAAGAUAAAUGCUACCUUUAGCAACAGUUUUGAAAUCCUUGACUCUGUGCCAUUAAAAAUGCUAGACAGGGAAAAAUAAAACCUUCCCUAGAAAAUUCUUUUGCCCAGAAAGUUGCCUGAGAGGUAAUGUCAAAUGUGGACUUGAUCCCAAAAUGGCAGUUGAAUUUGUACCAGAGGAGAUGGUGGUCUAUUGGGGCUAAAAAUGAUACCCCAAAAUGAAGGAAUAAAAAGCAGCCUCAGAAGCAAAGUCUCUGUCUAGCUUUCUCCUGCCCUCCUGUCUCUCACUCUCUUAUUCUCCCUUGAAGCAAGCCAUAGAAACUGGAAUCCUUCUUCCCUGAGGUGGGUCAUAUAAACCAGAACCUUUUCCCCAAAACCAGCCUUAGAGCCUAAACAUUUUACUCUAAUCUUCUCCCUCCCUUCCCUUUCUCUUUCUUGCUAACUGCUGGCCAUAAAGAAAUUAAGACCCUCAUUCCAGGGGGUCCUACCCCAUACCUGGGAGGAAGGAAUGUUAUAUCGAAAGGCCAAGAAGAAAUCUGAACAGACAGGCCUUGCUGGAUUUCCCCAUUCCCCUUGCUGGAUCAUACCCCUUUUGUCCAAUCAUAUUUCUACACAGCUUUCCAUACUUCAUUGAACCCAAGCAUAAAAAUGGGCCAAGAGAAGGUGGCUCAUACCUAUAACCCCAGCAUUCUGGGAGGCCGAGGUGCAACAUCACUUGGGCCCAGAAGUUACAGGUUACAGUGAGCUAUGAUCAGGACAUUGCACUCCAGCCUGAUCUACAGAGUGAGACCCUAAAUCAAAAAUAAAAAUAAUAAUAAAGGAAUAGUUGCCCCUAUAUCUUGGGGUCUUCAUUCUGAAGGCUCCUGUGUCACACAAAACUACGAUCAAAUAAAUUUGUUAUGCUUUUCUCUUGUUAAUUUGCCUUUGUUAGAGAGGUGUCAACUGUUAUGAUAGGAAGGAAAGGAAUCACCCCUUUUUGCUCCCUACAGUACCAAGGACCUAAAAAUAGGAUUCUAUAAAACUUUGAAUCAGAUUCUUCUAAAACAAACCUUAUUUAUUUUACCACCCCAAGACAGAAUUGUUUGAUCCCACUAACUUGUGAAAUUUUCUUUGGAAAUAGUAAAGAAUAAACACUUAUGAGGUACACAUUAUGUGCUAAAUGCAGGUUGAAUAUCUGUUACCCAAAUUCCUUGGGACCAGAAGUGUUCUGGAUUUCAGAUUUUGAAUAUUUGCACUAUACUUACCAGUUGAGCAUACCAAAUUCAAAAGUCUAAAAUGCUCCAAUGAGAAUUUCCUAUAAGCCUUAUGUCAGUGUUCAGAAAAUUUGGAGCACCUCAGAUUUGGGAUGCUCAAUGUGUGCUAGCUUUAUAUGCAUUGUCUCAUUUAUUCACCAUAGCUAUCCAUUACACAGGCAGUAUUAUUUUCUCAUAUUGACAGAUGAGAAAACAGAGGCCCAUUGUAAUCCAGUAGCUAGCUGAAGGUCACAUAAUCAGUGAGUAGAAGAGUUGGGAUUUGGGCCUAGGCAAGUCAAUUUCAGGGUUCUCAUGCUUACUCACUACUUAAUCCUAUAGGAAAGGAGUAUUUAUUUUUAAAUGGAACCCAUCAGUUAUUUCAGUAAGGUUAAUAAUGUACUUUUUCAGUAUUUCAAAAUUGCAUUGAUUUGUGCUUUUUCCACUAGUGUACUCAUAUCCCAUAUGUGCCUUCAUGAGCUGGUUUUACAGCUUACUCUUUAAUUGAAAAGCACUUUACAACUGAAAGCAAACUUCUUAAUCAAAGAUCAUAAUGUGUCCGUAGCUCCGAGUUAAGGCAACAUGAACUAUAACCAGACAGAGAGUCUCAUUCUUAGAAUUAUUGUUCAGAUGGGUCGAUAGAUAAGUAACUUUCACAUGAGAAAUAUUAUUAUAUUAUGAUAUAAUAAGAAAUAUAUAUAUAUAUUGGUCAUUGUCUAUGGUUCCUGGCUUACAGCUUCUAAAACUCUUGUAAUUUCCUCAGUGAUUAGAGCUAUAGGAUCAUUUUUGAUUAUAUUUGGGUUUUGUCUUUAGUUCCUGAAAUAGCUCCAGAUAAAGGUGAAAAAAGUGUCUUUUAUUACUCAUAAGAUGUCUUCUUCAACCACACCUGGGUUUAUGUUAAUGAAGCAAUUUUUGGAAAGCCCCUAGAUAACUGCAGGAUGGGAGCUGGUUGCUAUGGAAACUUAAACGUGUGUGUGUGUGUGUGUGUGUGUGUGUGUGUGUGUGUGUGUGUGUGUCUAGACUAGAGGGUUGGAAUUUUCAGCCCCACCUGGACCUUUGACCUUUUGGGAGUGUAGAGGAACUGGAAACUGACUUAAUUACCAACGCUAAUGAUUUAAUCAAUCGGGCCUAUGUAAUGAUGCCUUUAUAGAAACCAAAAAGGAUGGAGUUCAGAGACCUUCCAUGUUGAUGAACAAGAACACAUUCACCUGCUGUAGGGGUAGGUGUACCCCAAAACUCCACUGAUACAGAAGCUUCUAUACUCAAGACCCUUCUAUACUCAAGACCCUGGAUCUUACCCUAUAUAUCUCUUCAUCUGGCUAUUUAUUUGCAUCUUUUAAUAUAUCCUUUGUAAUAAACUAGUAAUCUAGAAAGCAAACUUUUCCUAGCUCUGUAGGCCAUUCUAGUAAAUGAUUAAACCUGAGGAGGAGUUAUGGGAACCUUUGAUUUGUAGACAAGUUGGACAAAAGUGGUAUAUAUCCUAAUAUAACAUGGGAACCUGCCACUUAUGAUUGGCGUGUGAAAUUGGGGGAUGGGGAAGCAGUCUUGUGGGACUGAGCCCUUAGCCUGUGGGGUCUAAUGCUAUCUUCAGGUAAUAUCAGAACUGAGUUAAAUUAUAGGAUACCAGUCAGUGUCCAUUGGAGAACUGAAUUAUUGUGAGGAGAAACCCACACAUUUGGUGGCUAAAAGUAUUGAUGUGAGUAGUAGCAUAUAGGAGUUUUUUGCUAUAUACAUAUGUAGUGUAAGUUUAAAGUAAAAAGUUUUGUAUUGUCAGGAGUGACUUCUUUGCACCUAAAUAUCACUGCUAUAACUGCGUUACUAAGGAAUAGUUGCUUGCUUUUAUGUAUUUGGCACCUGCAGCUACUGUUCUAAAAAGUUUGCAUGUGUUAACCUAUUAAUUAAAUCUACAAAUGACUGGCUGUACCCAUGAAGUGAGUUAUUCUAAAGACAAUGGAAC